rnacentral:rRNA from 1 species
CGGACGGGUGAGUAACACGUGGAUAACCUACCUAUAAGACUGGGAUAACUUCGGGAAACCGGAGCUAAUACCGGAUAAUAUAUUGAACCGCAUGGUUCAAUAGUGAAAGACGGUUUUGCUGUCACUUAUAGAUGGAUCCGCGCUGCAUUAGCUAGUUGGUAAGGUAACGGCUUACCAAGGCAACGAUGCGUAGCCGACCUGAGAGGGUGAUCGGCCACACUGGAACUGAGACACGGUCCAGACUCCUACGGGAGGCAGCAGGA